CCUGGAGCAGUCGCCUCUGUAGCACUUGAGGGUUGCUUCGAGCACUCUUGGUCAUGCUUGCUGGUUGAAGUGGGACGCAGCAGCCUCACUGAAGUAGAGAUGCCAUUGCAGUCAGGUGUUGACGACAGCCCAGUGCCAUCCAGCCUUGACUUGGUGACCAGGUAGAAGUCUUCUGCACUCAACUUAGUGACAGUCCUGGGUAUCUUGGGUGGAGAGGCACUUUCCGACUCUUCCGAUUCAAGGACUUUUUGGUGUCCUGAUAGGCCUCAGACCAAAGUUACCCCCCUUAACUUUUACCAUGACCCGGAAG